UUAUUAAUAACCCCAAAACCACCAACUACUGAACAACAAACCAUUCUUCCCCCUAAGUAUGGGCGACAAAAAAGGAUAACCACAUGAGCCAUAGAAUAGUACCGCAAGGGAACGCUGAAAAAGAAAUGAAAUAAACCAGUAAAGUUAAAAAAAGCAGAGACUUGCGCUCGUACCUUUUGCAUCAUGACUUAGCUAGUAAAGACCAAGCAAAAAGCAUUUUAGUUUGACUUCCCGAAACUAGGUGAGCUACUCCAAGACAGCCUAAAAGCAGGGCUAACCCGUCUCUGUGGAAAAAGAGUGGGGUGAUCUUAGAGUAGAGGUGACAAACCUAUCGAACUUAGUUAUAGCUGGUUGCCUAAGAAAUGAAUAGGAGUUCAGCUUUUUGAUUUUUCUACUCAAAUUCAUCUAUUUAAACCGACUCAGAAAAUGCCAAAAAGUUAAUUAAAGGGGGUACAGCCCCUUUAAAACAAGAUACAACUUCCUCAGCCGGGUAAGGAUCAUAAUUAUUAAGGCGAAAAUGUUUUAGUGGGCCUGAAAGCAGCCACCUAUAAGAAAGCGUUAAAGCUCGUUCAUAUGCCCGCCACCAAUUUAGAUAGUAAAUCCAAACCCGCUAAUUUUAUUAGGCCCCCCCAUGCUUACAUGGGGGUGACUCUGCUAAUAUGAGUAAUAAGAAAAGUUCAGCUUUUCUCCUCGCACGCGUGUAAAUCGAAACGGACCCCCCAUCGAGUCUUAAUCGGCCCCAAAAAAGAGGGUAUUGCGCCGUCAACUUUAAUAACAAGAAAAACAUCCAAAUAUUAACCGUUAACCCUACACUGGUGUGCUUAUAAGGUAGGACUAAAAGAAAAAGAAGGAACUCGGCAAACACAAGCCUCGCCUGUUUACCAAAAACACCGCCUCUUGUAGACAAAAAUAAGAGGUCA
rnacentral:rRNA from 1 species